AGGUGAGGUAGAGGAGCGGAGCAUCAAGAGUAACAUGCAAUAGGUUUUAAGGAACCGAUGAUUGCAUGUGAAAGGGAUAAAUCCGCCGAAGCGUGUAGAUACCUUAAUAUCUACAUAGCUGGGCCUAUGCAUAAGAUGUAUAGGACUGUCACAAGUAGUUAACCCGGACUAUUUGUGAUGAGCUAUCUCGCUA
rnacentral:ncRNA from 2 species